UACAGAGGUCCCAAGCGUUGUUCGGAUUCACUGGGCGUAAAGGGUGCGUAGGCGGUCGGGUAAGUCUGACGUGAAAUCUUCAAGCUUAACUUGGAAACUGCGUCGGAUACUAUUCGGCUAGAGGAAUGGAGGGGAGACUGGAAUACUUGGUGUAGCAGUGAAAUGCGUAGAUAUCAAGUGGAACACCAGUGGCGAAGGCGGCUGCCUGGCCCAAUACUGACACUCAGGUGCGACAGCGUGGGGAGCAAACAGG
rnacentral:rRNA from 1 species